AGGGCACCACCAGGGGUGGAGCCUGCGGCUUAAUUUGACUCAACACGGGGAAACUCAUCCGGUCCGGACACCGUGAGGAUUGACAGAUUGAGAGCUCUUUCUUGAUUUGGUGGGCAGUGGUGCAUGGCCGUUCUUAGUUGGUGGAGUGAUUUGUCUGGUUUAUUCCGAUAACGAACGAGACUCUGGCCUACUAACUAGUUGCGCGAUUGAGGAGUCGUGCCAACUUCUUAGAGGGACAAGCGGUGCUCAGCCGCAUGAAAAAGAGCAAUAACAGGUCUGUGAUGCCCUUCGAUGUUCGGAGCUGCACGCGCGCUACACUGUGAGUGGCAGCAUGUUAGCUUGCCUCGCUCGCAAGAGUGGGGUAAUCGGUUGAAAAUCUCACGUGAUUGGGAUAGGGACUUGUAAUUAUUUCCCUUGAACGAGGAAUCCCUAGUAAGUGCAGGUCAUCAGCUUGCGCUGAUUACGUCCCUGCCCUUUGURCACACCGCCCGUCGCUGCCCGGAACUGAAGCAUCUCGAG
rnacentral:rRNA from 1 species